rnacentral:rRNA from 1 species
GACGUAGGGUGCGAGCGUUGUCCGGAUUUAUUGGGCGUAAAGAGCUCGUAGGCGGUUUGUCGCGUCUGCCGUGAAAGUCCGGGGCUCAACUCCGGAUCUGCGGUGGGUACGGGCAGACUAGAGUGAUGUAGGGGAGACUGGAAUUCCUGGUGUAGCGGUGAAAUGCGCAGAUAUCAGGAGGAACACCGAUGGCGAAGGCAGGUCUCUGGGCAUUAACUGACGCUGAGGAGCGAAAGCGUGGGGAGCGAUCCGG